rnacentral:rRNA from 1 species
UACGUAGGUGACAAGCGUUGUCCGGAUUUACUGGGCGUAAAGAGCGCGCAGGCGGUCGAUCAAGUCGAGUGUGAAAGCCCCCGGCUCAACUGGGGAGGGUCAUUCGAUACUGAUCGACUCGAAGGCAGGAGAGGGUAGUGGAAUUCCCGGUGUAGAGGUGAAAUUCGUAGAUAUCGGGAGGAACACCAGUGGCGAAGGCGGCGAUCUGGGAAGAUACUGACGCUGAGGUGCGAAAGCGUGGGGAGCAAACAGG